CUGUGCUAAAGCGGGGAGAUAGCAGUGCCCUGUAACCUGGAAUCUGCUACACCAGGGCUGAUAAUCUGUUAUGAGGCUGGCAGAUCUUUAGAAAUGGCAAUUUUUGAAAAACGUUGAAGGUGGGACCCUUCACGAUAACAGUUUGCAAAUCCCGCCAGGUCCGGAAGGAAGCAGCGGUAAGCAAAUUUGUUAUAUGGUGAAGGUAAAUCUCACUGGAGCUUUUCGGGAAUUGUACAGCUAGGGAUUUACAGUCGAAUGCAGACGCACGG
rnacentral:SRP_RNA from 5 species